rnacentral:rRNA from 1 species
AGUGAACGCUGGCGGUAGGCCUAACACAUGCAAGUCGAACGGCAGCACAGGAGAGCUUGCUCUCUGGGUGGCGAGUGGCGGACGGGUGAGGAAUACAUCGGAAUCUACUCUGUCGUGGGGGAUAACGUAGGGAAACUUACGCUAAUACCGCAUACGACCUACGGGUGAAAGCAGGGGAUCUUCGGACCUUGCGCGAUUGAAUGAGCCGAUGUCGGAUUAGCUAGUUGGCGGGGUAAAGGCCCACCAAGGCGACGAUCCGUAGCUGGUCUGAGAGGAUGAUCAGCCACACUGGACCUGAGACACGGUCCAGACUCCGACGGGAGGCAGCAGUGGGGAAUAUUGGACAAUGGGCGCAAGCCUGAUCCAGCCAUACCGCGUGGGUGAAGAAGGCCUUCGGGUUGUAAAGCCCUUUUGUUGGGAAAGAAAUCCAGCUGGCUAAUACCCGGUUGGGAUGACGGUACCCAAAGAAUAAGCACCGGCUAACUUCGUGCCAGCAGCCGCGGUAA